CACGCCCUAAACGAUGUCAACUAGGUGUUGGGUGGGUAAAACCAUUUAGUACCGGAGCUAACGCGUGAAGUUGACCGCCUGGGGAGUACGGCCGCAAGGUUAAAACUCAAAGGAAUUGACGGGGACCCGCACAAGCGGUGGAUGAUGUGGAUUAAUUCGAUGCAACGCGAAAAACCUUACCUACCCUUGACAUGUUCAGAACCCUCGAGAGAUUGAGGGGUGCCCGAAAGGGAGCUGGAACACAGGUGC
rnacentral:rRNA from 1 species